GUACUCGCUUCAACAGCACAUAUACUUAAAUUAGAAUGAUACAAAGAAGAUUAGCAUGGCCCCUGCACAAGGAUAGAAUAAUCUUAGAGAUUUUAGACAUUUUA